GCAUGCAUAUAUUUUAGACCAGCUCUGAUACCAAUUGAAGGGAAGGGAAACUAUUUCUCUUCGGAAGGCCCAGAUUGCAUCUAAUUUUUUUUUUAUUAAUCUACAUAAAUAAAGAUCAAUUUUUUAUCUAAUUAGUAGUAAAAUCAAAGGUCAAAUCUCAAAUAAUCUAAAUUAAAUCUUUAUGGAGGUCUGGAUGUGCAGACCCUCUACUUCGCAUGCACGCCCGAUGCCAUAGGAAAGCAGGAUGAACUCUGAUCUUUGCAACCC
rnacentral:lncRNA from 1 species